rnacentral:rRNA from 1 species
UGGGGAAUAUUGGACAAUGGGGGAAACCCUGAUCCAGCAAUGCCGCGUGAGUGAAGAAGGCCUUAGGGUUGUAAAGCUCUUUCGCCCGCGAAGAUAAUGACGGUAGCGGGAGAAGAAGCCCCGGCUAACUCCGUGCCAGCAGCCGCGGUAAUACGGAGGGGGCUAGCGUUGUUCGGAAUUACUGGGCGUAAAGCGUACGUAGGCGGAUGCGCAAGUUGGGGGUGAAAUCCCGGGGCUUAACCUCGGAAUUGCCCUCAAAACUGCACGUCUUGAGACCGAGAGAGGUAAGGGGAAUUCCUAGUGUAGAGGUGAAAUUCGUAGAUAUCAGGAGGAACACCGGUGGCGAAGGCGGCCUUCUGGACGGCUACUGACGCUGAGACGCGAAAGCGUGGGGAGCAAACA